CCUACCCUAUAUAUAGCUCCUUCGACGAGUUCGAGUAGUUUGGGAAUGCUGCUCUAAAUGGGAGGUAAAKUUCUUCUAARGCUAAAUACCGGCCAGAGACCGAUAGCGCACAAGUAGAGUGAUCGAAAGAUGAAAAGCACUUUGAAAAGAGGGUUAAAUAGCACGUGAAAUUGUUGAAAGGGAAGCGUUUGCGACCAGACCUUUUCCAGGGGGAUCAUCCGGUGUUCUCACCGGUGCACUUCCCCUGGUUUAGGCCCAGCAUCGGUUUUCUUAGGGGGAUAAAGGCUUAGGGAACGUGGCUCUUUCGGGAGUGUUAUAGCCCUUUUGCGUAAUACCCCUCGGGGGACCGAGGACCGCGCUCUGCAAGGAUGCUGGCGUAAUGGUCGUCAACGACCCGUCUUGAAACACGGACCAAGGAGUCGAACAUUUGUGCGAGUGUUUGGGUGUUAAACCCUCACGCGUAAUGAAAGUGAACGGAGGUGAGAGCCCUUACGGGUGCAUCAUCGACCGAUCCUGAUGUCUUCGGAUGGAUUUGAGUAAGAGCAUAACUGUUCGGACCCGAAAGAUGGUGAACUAUGCGUGGAUAGGGUGAAGCCAGAGGAAACUCUGGUGGAGGCUCGCAGCGGUUCUGACGUGCAAAUCGAUCGUCAAAUCUGCGCAUGGGGGCGAAAGACUUAUCGAACCAUUGAAACCAGCGGUAAAAUUUCAUUUACUAGGUGGUUAAGAGGUCCCCUGGGAGGGGGGCCUAGGUUUAUGUGCCAGUUUACCCUAUAGUUACCCUAUAGUUACCCUGGAGCUACCCUAUACCUACCCUGGAGCUACCCUGUAGCUACCCUGGARGAGGGGGUGCCCCGGAGUGCUGGCGCGGCCGACACCGCUAAAUUGCGSGAAAGUCCUAUAUAAGGCCGCAGSCUACSGCCKGGCGCUGAAAAGCGCCCUGGCACCAAGAAUAGCGCU
rnacentral:rRNA from 1 species